AUACGGAGGGUGCGAGCGUUAAUCGGAAUUACUGGGCGUAAAGCGUACGUAGGCGGUUGGUUAAGUUAGAUGUGAAAGCCCCGGGCUUAACCUGGGAACUGCAUUUAAAACUGGCGAACUAGAGUUGAGUAGAGGGGAGUGGAAUUUCAGGUGUAGCGGUGAAAUGCGUAGAGAUCUGAAGGAACACCAGUGGCGAAGGCGACUCCCUGGACUCGAACUGACGCUGAGGUACGAAAGCGUGGGUAGCGAACGGGAUUAGAAACCCUAGUAGUCC
rnacentral:rRNA from 1 species